CGACGCUAGCUACUUGGUCAUUUAGAGGAAGUAAAAGUCGUAACAAGGUUUCCGUAGGUGAACCUGCGGAAGGAUCAUUAUCGGGAGUGCCCUCGUGGCUUAACCUGCAACCCAAUGUUUUAAAAACCCUUGUUUCUUUGGCGGGUUCGCCCGUCAGAAGAACUCUCAAACUCAUUAUAAAUGUGUCUUCUGAAUAACCAUUUAAUAAAAUUAAAACUUUCAACAACGGAUCUCUUGGUUCUGGCAUCGAUGAAGAACGCAGCGAAAUGCGAUAAGUAAUGUGAAUUGCAGAAUUCAGUGAAUCAUCGAAUCUUUGAACGCAUAUUGCGCCCUUUGGUAUUCCGAAGGGCAUGCCUGUUCGAGCGUCAUUACACCCCUCAAACUUCACUGUUUGAUGUUGGGUACUGCCUAGGGGCAUACCUAAAAGUCAGCGACGGUUCAAGCCAACCUCAGACGUACAAGUAUCGUUAUAGGGGACGGUUGGGGCCUGUCUUUAACUAAACUAUCUAAAUGUUGACCUCGGAUCAGGUAGGAAUACCCGCUGAACUUAAGCAUAU
rnacentral:rRNA from 1 species